AAGACCCCAUGAAGCUUUAUCUUAAUUGGAGCUUUCAGGCUCUUAUACGAUUUUGAUGGGAGAUCAGUAGAAAUAAGUCUUCUACUAUCAUAUUAAUCUUACUAGUAUUUCCUAACUUUAUAUGUGUGGCUAGCUACUCUAGGGAUAACAGCGCAAUUUCUCCCGAAAGAUGGUAUUGGAGGGGAAGAUUGCSACCUCGAUGUUG
rnacentral:rRNA from 1 species